AUACAAUCUACCCCCUACUGUGGGAUAGCCCAGAGAAAUUUGGAUUAAGACCACAUGGUACCAUUUUACGGCAUCGUAUUAAUGGUUAAAGGUUACGGUAGGGGAUGAGUAUGCGUCCCAUUAGUUAGUUGGCGAGGUAACGGCUCACCAAGACCGCGAUGGGUAGGGGCCCUGAGAGGGGGAUCCCCCACACUGGUACUGAGACACGGACCAGACUCCUACGGGAGGCAGCAGUGAGGAAUAUUGGACAAUGGGCGGGAGCCUGAUCCAGCCAUGCCGCGUGCAGGAAGAAUGCCCUAUGGGUAGUAAACUGCUUUUAUACGGGAAGAAAAAGAGCUACGUGUAGCUUACUGACGGUACCGUAAGAAUAAGGACCGGCUAACUCCGUGCCAGCAGCCGCGGUAAUACGGAGGGUCCGAGCGUUAUCCGGAAUUAUUGGGUUUAAAGGGUCCGUAGGCGGGCCGAUAAGUCAGUGGUGAAAGUUUGCAGCUCAACUGUAAAAUUGCCUUUGAUACUGUCGGUCUUGAGUUAUAGUGAAGUUGCCGGAAUAUGUAGUGUAGCGGUGAAAUGCAUAGAUAUUACAUAGAACACCGAUUGCGAAGGCAGGUGACUAACUAUAUACUGACGCUGAUGGACGAAAGCGUGGGGAGCGAACAGGAUUAGAUACCCUGGUAGUCCACGCCGUAAACGAUGGAUACUAGCUGUCCGGGUCCUUGAGACCUGGGCGGCCAAGCGAAAGUGAUAAGUAUCCCACCUGGGGAGUACGUUCGCAAGAAUGAAACUCA
rnacentral:rRNA from 1 species